CCAGACCGGGGUUCUGGUACUGACCUGAGGACAGCCUAGAGGGUCCGGUGGAGGAAACAAGGCGGGGGUCUCUGGCACAUCCGGUCUCCAACCAAACUCUCUCACCGUCUCAUACUCAUGACCAGGAGGCUCACCGGGAUAGUGCACGGGAUAGUGCACGUGAUCUGGGAGAAAGAAAGUUGGCAGAGGUGAGAACACACUGAGAUGUCUCACCAGACCUAUAGUGAGUGGACUCACCAUGGCUAUAGUGAGUUGUCCUACAGUGAGUUGUCUCUCCAGUCCUAUAGUGAGUGGACUCACCAUGGCUAUAGUGAGUUGUCCUACAGUGAGUUGUCUCUCCAGUCCUAUAGUGAGUGGACUCACCAUGGCUAUAGUGAGUUGUCCUACAGUGAGUUGUCUCUCCAGUCCUACAGUGAGUUGACUCACCAUGGCUAUAGUGAGUUGUCCUACAGUGAGUUGUCUCUCCAGUCCUAUAGUGAGUUGACUCACCAUGGCUAUAGUGAGUUGUCCUACAGUGAGUUGUCUCUCCAGUCCUAUAGUGAGUUGACUCACCAUGGCUAUAGUGAGUUGUCCUACAGUGAGUUGUCUCACCAGUCCUAUAGUGAGUUGUCCUAUAGUGUGUUGCCUCACCAGUCCUACAGUGAGUUGUGUUGUCUCACCAGUCCUACAGUGAGUUGUGUUGUCUCACCAGGCCUAUAGUGUAUUGUGUUGUCUCACCAGGCCUAUAGUAUGUUGUGUUGUCUCACCAGUCCUACAUUGUGUUGUGUUGUCUCACCAGUCCUAUAGUGAGUUGUGUUGUCUCACUAGUCCUAUAGUGAGUUGUCCUACAGUGAGUGGUCUCACCAGACCUAUAGUGAGUUGUCUCUCCAGGCCUAUAGUUAUUUGUUUCACCUUGUCAAUAUAUAGUGAGUUGUCGCACCAGUCCUAUAGUGUGCAGUCUCACCAGACCUAUAGUGAGUUUUCUCUCCAGGCCUAUAGUUAUUUGUUUCACCAGGUCUAUCUAUAGUGGGUUGUCUCUCCAGGCCUAUAGUUAUUUGUUUCACCAGGUCUAUCUAUAGUGGGUUGUCUCUCCAGGCCUAUAGCUAUUUGUUUCACCAGGUCUAUCUAGAGUGGGUUGUCUCUCCAGGCCUAUAGUUAUUUGUUUCACCAGGUCUAUCUAUAGUGGGUUGUCUCUCCAGGCCUAUAAUUAUUUGUUUCACCAGGUCUAUCUAUAGUGAGUUGUCUCUCCAGGGCUAUUGUCAUUUGUUUCACCAGGUCUAUCUAUAGUGAGUUGUCUCUCCAGGGCUAUUGUCAUUUGUUUCACCAGGUCUAUCUAUAGUGAGUUGUCUCACCGGUCCUGUAGUGUGCAGUCUCACCCGGCCUGUGCGUCUCCUCAGCGUAGGGUUGAAGCCGUGGACGAUAGUCUCUUAAAGGGUAAUAGUUUUGACUCUCCUGUAAUGCCAGAGAAAAAUAACAUGAGGUUUGUACGAACGAUGCGUCGCAUAACUAUUCACACAUUAUUAUAUACAGUUUCGCUAUGUAUAGUGUGAUAUUAUCUAUCGAUGCAUAUAUCUUCAACAGGAGGUUUAACCACUCGCAUUUACGAUCGUCAUUUCAAUCUGCACACUUGUGUUUAUAGCGGUGCCUGUAAAACCUUGAGUCACC
ensembl:lncRNA